CUCAUUCGGAUCGGAGUCUGCAACCCGACUCCGUGAAGCUGGAUUCGCUAGUAAUCGCGCAUCAGCCAUGGCGCGGUGAAUACGUUCCCGGGCCUUGUACACACCGCCCGUCAAGCCAUGGAAGCCGGGGGUGCCAGAAGUGUGCAGCCGCAAGGAGCGCCCUAAGGUAAAACCGGUGACUGGGGCUAAGUCGUAACAAGGUAGC
rnacentral:rRNA from 1 species